rnacentral:rRNA from 1 species
GUGGGGAAUAUUGGGCAAUGGGCGCAAGCCUGACCCAGCAACGCCGCGUGAAGGAAGAAGGCUUUCGGGUUGUAAACUUCUUUGACAGGGGAAGAUAAUGACGGUACCCUGAAAACAAGCUCCGGCUAACUACGUGCCAGCAGCCGCGGUGAUACGUAGGGAGCAAGCGUUAUCCGGAAUUACUGGGUGUAAAGGGCGCGUAGGCGGGUCUGCAAGUCAGAUGUGAAAUGCCGGGGCUUAACCUCGGAGCUGCAUUUGAAACUGUAGGUCUUGAGUGAUGGAGAGGCAGGCGGAAUUCCCGGUGUAGCGGUGGAAUGCGUAGAUAUCGGGAGGAACACCAGUGGCGAAGGCGGCCUGCUGGACAUUAACUGACGCUGAGGCGCGAAAGCGUGGGGAGCAAACAGG